CAGUCGCCGCGGUAAUGCGUAGGUGGCAAGCGUUGUCCGGAAUUAUUGGGCGUAAAGGGCUCGCAGGCGGUUUCUUAAGCCUGAUGUGAAAGCCCCCGGCUCAACCGGGGAGGGUCAUUGGAAACUGGGAAACUUGAGUGCAGAAGAGGAGAGUGGAAUUCCACGUGUAGCGGUGAAAUGCGUAGAGAUGUGGAGGAACACCAGUGGCGAAGGCGACUCUCUGGUCUGUAACUGACGCUGAGGAGCGAAAGCGUGGGGAGCGAACAGGAUUAGAUACCCGCGUAGUCCCUGUCUCUUAUAC
rnacentral:rRNA from 1 species